CGAUCAGCGACUGGUGAAUCCCUCUGUAUUUAAAUCUAGUUUCUGUUUUGUCAUCUCUGCGCUGGUACAUGUUGAGCAGCAGUGACUGGAGAAGUUAGCAGGCAGCCAUGUGGGAACAGACGACUGGAAAACAGAAUUUGUGAGAUGUUUGGAGUGAAGCAGGGAUCAAUCCAGGGCGAGGCAGACGUCAUAAUGCUUCAACGUCGCCAGAAGGGGGCGACAGAAGUUCCACACUGCUGGUUUAAUAAGUGUCAUCUGGGAUGGCGGUUGAACCUCAUUACGUCUCAAUGAACAAAACGCCUGAACAAGUCAACACUGUUUCACCGGCCCUCAAUCAACCACAAUCACCCACAGCUCUGGACUCACCUGUUCCCAAUCACCUCCUUCCCAUAAAGCUCUUCCCUCCACCCUGCGCCAGGUCGUCAUCCCAUUUUCCAGGUUCACGGCGGCCUGUCGACUUGUCUUCAGCCUGUGUUCCCCCAGCCAGCGUUCUCCUGCCACCGGACUCCGACCUGCCUCCAUCCUGUUUUGCCCCAGCCUGCCUCCCUUUCCCCCCGCUGUAGUUUUAGUUCUGGUUUCUGUGAGUGUUUCUGUUUUCCAGUACAGUUAUUCUGUAUUUUUCUCCAAUUUGUUGAGUUUUCUUUGUAUUUUUUUGAGUUUUUCCAGUUUUGUUAUAUCAGAAAUUCCUGGUUCAGUUUCCAUAGAGUUCAGUUCACUUCCACACUCGCUUGUGUUUCGCUUGUUUUAUUCAUUU